GUGCCAUCAUAUAAAUCUCGGACUUUUGGCUUUUAUACAUAUAUUCUAUAACGGGACUACUUUGGCGAGGAUGAUUACCCCGUCUGACUGGCGGCGGGCAUUACCAGUGAGUCUAGUGAAGAGAUUUGUCCUGCGGACACAGUUUGCCGGCUUCCUGCAGAGGCUGCGGGCCAAUAGUUAAGAAGAUGGAUAGCUGGCUACUUAAAGGCGAGCGAAAAUUUGUUUGCGAGCGGCCAGGUGAAGCAUACAGAGCUCUUUUGUUGGCUCUCAUACAGACGCUGAUCUGAAAGGCAUGGCUUACUGCGACUUACUGGGUACCGAAUUUUGCUGUAGUGCCUAGAUAUUGGUGCCAGUGGAUAUGACGCCAAACGAGGAACUACUCCUGUGCAAAAGGUAAAGCAGGCGCAGCUUAUAAUUCAGGAAGUACGCCAGAUGGUCCGCAUUGCGACAUAACCUGGAUGUGCUUUCCGCUCUCUACGGCUUCCAUUACACUAUUUAUGUGGUGGUUCAGCAGAAGAAAGUAAGCGAUCUUCAGGCAAUUGAUAUGACUCUGAACGGCAAGGUACCUGUUUUGACUCGCAGCACGAAUGCACUUAGUCAGGCACUGGAAUUCAUAGAGAACGUUUGCGCAUUGCGAGACACAAGUGCCUGAAGAGCAGGAGGACAAAUACCUUUAACGUAGACUGAAAUAGCGCCACAUCAAGUUGCUCGCUGUGAUACGAGGUGAUAUUGGGAUAUAUUACUAAUUUGAUCUCGUGUUCGCAAUUCUAUUGUGCACCCUGAAGCACAUUCUUUAUCUCCCGCCUGCUAUUAACAAAUAACCCGAUAGUAUUUCCAACUUCCGGUGAGAUGAGGUGUCACGGGCUGUGGACGACGUCGGGUAUCCUGGUACUGCCUUGCCCUCCAGAUUGCAGGUAUUCACAGCUAGACUGGCAAAUUAAGGACUACAAGGACCUGCAAAAGUGACAAAGGACAUUUUUCCAGGAUCGGACUUUAUUUGAUGUC